GCCUGUGUAGCUCAGGGGUAGAGUACUUGUUUCGUAAACAAGGGGUCGGGGGUUCAAAUCCCUCCACAGGCU
rnacentral:tRNA from 6 species